GAUGAACGCUGGCGGCGUGCCUAAUACAUGCAAGUCGAGCGAACAGACGAGGAGCUUGCUCCUCUGACGUUAGCGGCGGACGGGUGAGUAACACGUGGAUAACCUACCUAUAAGACUGGGAUAACUUCGGGAAACCGGAGCUAAUACCGGAUAAUAUAUUGAACCGCAUGGUUCAAUAGUGAAAGACGGUUUUGCUGUCACUUAUAGAUGGAUCCGCGCCGCAUUAGCUAGUUGGUAAGGUAACGGCUUACCAAGGCAACGAUGCGUAGCCGACCUGAGAGGGUGAUCAGCCACACUGGAACUGAGACACGGUCCAGACUCCUACGGGAGGCAGCAGUAGGGAAUCUUCCGCAAUGGGCGAAAGCCUGACGAAGCAACGCCGCGUGAGUGAUGAAGGUCUUCGGAUCGUAAAACUCUGUUAUUAGGGAAGAACAAAUGUGUAAGUAACUAUGCACGUCUUGACGGUACCUAAUCAGAAAGCCACGGCUAACUACGUG
rnacentral:rRNA from 1 species